rnacentral:rRNA from 1 species
GGGUUGUGAGGUUAAGCGACUAAGCGUACACGGUGGAUGCCCUGGCAGUCAGAGGCGAUGAAGGACGUGCUAAUCUGCGAAAAGCGUCGGUAAGGUGAUAUGAACCGUUACAGCCGGCGAUGUCCGAAUGGGGAAACCCAGUGUGAUUCGUCACACUAUCGUUAACUGAAUACAUAGGUUAACGAGGCGAACCGGGGGAACUGAAACAUCUAAGUACCCCGAGGAAAAGAAAUCAACCGAGAUUCCCCCAGUAGCGGCGAGCGAACGGGGAGCAGCCCAGAGUCUGAAUCAGCUUGUGUGUUAGUGGAACGGUCUGGAAAGUCCGACGGUACAGGGUGAUAGUCCCGUACACCAAAAUGCACAGGUUGUGAACUCGAAGAGUAGGGCGGGACACGUGGUAUCCUGUCUGAAUAUGGGGGGACCAUCCUCCAAGGCUAAAUACUCCUGACUGACCGAUAGUGAACCAGUACCGUGAGGGAAAGGCGAAAAGAACCCCGGCGAGGGGAGUGAAAAAGAACCUGAAACCGUGUACGUACAAGCAGUGGGAGCACCUUAGGGUGUGACUGCGUACCUUUUGUAUAAUGGGUCAGCGACUUAUAUUCUGUAGCAAGGUUAACCGUAUAGGGGAGCCGCAGGGAAACCGAGUCUUAACUGGGCGUUAAGUUGCAGGGUAUAGACCCGAAACCCGGUGAUCUAGCCAUGGGCAGGUUGAAGGUUGGGUAACACUAACUGGAGGACCGAACCGACUAAUGUUGAAAAAUUAGCGGAUGACUUGUGGCUGGGGGUGAAAGGCCAAUCAAACCGGGAGAUAGCUGGUUCUCCCCGAAAGCUAUUUAGGUAGCGCCUCGUGAACUCAUCUUCGGGGGUAGAGCACUGUUUCGGCUAGGGGGUCAUCCCGACUUACCAACCCGAUGCAAACUACGAAUACCGAAGAAUGUUAUCACGGGAGACACACGGCGGGUGCUAACGUCCGUCGUGAAGAGGGAAACAACCCAGACCGCCAGCUAAGGUCCCAAAGUCAUGGUUAAGUGGGAAACGAUGUGGGAAGGCACAGACAGCCAGGAUGUUGGCUUAGAAGCAGCCAUCAUUUAAAGAAAGCGUAAUAGCUCACUGGUCGAGUCGGCCUGCGCGGAAGAUGUAACGGGGCUAAACCAUGCACCGAAGCUGCGGCAGCGACACUAUGUGUUGUUGGGUAGGGGAGCGUUCUGUAAGCCUGCGAAGGUGACCUGUGAGGGUUGCUGGAGGUAUCAGAAGUGCGAAUGCUGACAUAAGUAACGAUAAAGCGGGUGAAAAGCCCGCUCGCCGGAAGACCAAGGGUUCCUGUCCAACGUUAAUCGGGGCAGGGUGAGUCGACCCCUAAGGCGAGGCCGAAAGGCGUAGUCGAUGGGAAACAGGUUAAUAUUCCUGUACUUGGUGUUACUGCGAAGGGGGGACGGAGAAGGCUAUGUUAGCCGGGCGACGGUUGUCCCGGUUUAAGCAUGUAGGCUGAUUAUCCAGGCAAAUCCGGAUAAUCAAGGCUGAGGUGUGAUGACGAGGUACUACGGUGCUGAAGUAACAAAUGCCCUGCUUCCAGGAAAAGCCUCUAAGCAUCAGGUAACAUCAAAUCGUACCCCAAACCGACACAGGUGGUCAGGUAGAGAAUACCAAGGCGCUUGAGAGAACUCGGGUGAAGGAACUAGGCAAAAUGGUGCCGUAACUUCGGGAGAAGGCACGCUGGUGUGUAGGUGAAGCCCCUGCGGGUGGAGCUGAGACCAGUCGAAGAUACCAGCUGGCUGCAACUGUUUAUUAAAAACACAGCACUGUGCAAACACGAAAGUGGACGUAUACGGUGUGACGCCUGCCCGGUGCCGGAAGGUUAAUUGAUGGGGUUAUCCGUAAGGAGAAGCUCUUGAUCGAAGCCCCGGUAAACGGCGGCCGUAACUAUAACGGUCCUAAGGUAGCGAAAUUCCUUGUCGGGUAAGUUCCGACCUGCACGAAUGGCGUAAUGAUGGCCAGGCUGUCUCCACCCGAGACUCAGUGAAAUUGAACUCGCUGUGAAGAUGCAGUGUACCCGCGGCAAGACGGAAAGACCCCGUGAACCUUUACUAUAGCUUGACACUGAACAUUGAGCCUUGAUGUGUAGGAUAGGUGGGAGGCUUUGAAGCGUGGACGCCAGUCUGCGUGGAGCCAACCUUGAAAUACCACCCUUUAAUGUUUGAUGUUCUAACGUUGGCCCCUAAUCGGGGUUGCGGACAGUGUCUGGUGGGUAGUUUGACUGGGGCGGUCUCCUCCCAAAGCGUAACGGAGGAGCACGAAGGUUAGCUAAUCCUGGUCGGACAUCAGGAGGUUAGUGCAAUGGCAUAAGCUAGCUUGACUGCGAGCGUGACGGCGCGAGCAGGUGCGAAAGCAGGUCAUAGUGAUCCGGUGGUUCUGAAUGGAAGGGCCAUCGCUCAACGGAUAAAAGGUACUCCGGGGAUAACAGGCUGAUACCGCCCAAGAGUUCAUAUCGACGGCGGUGUUUGGCACCUCGAUGUCGGCUCAUCACAUCCUGGGGCUGAAGUAGGUCCCAAGGGUAUGGCUGUUCGCCAUUUAAAGUGGUACGCGAGCUGGGUUUAGAACGUCGUGAGACAGUUCGGUCCCUAUCUGCCGUGGGCGCUGGAGAAUUGAGGGGGGCUGCUCCUAGUACGAGAGGACCGGAGUGGACGCAUCACUGGUGUUCGGGUUGUCAUGCCAAUGGCACUGCCCGGUAGCUAAAUGCGGAAGAGAUAAGUGCUGAAAGCAUCUAAGCACGAAACUUGCCCCGAGAUGAGUUCUCCCUGAGACUUUAAGUCUCCUGAAGGAACGUUGAAGACGACGACGUUGAUAGGCCGGGUGUGUAAGCGCAGCGAUGCGUUGAGCUAACCGGUACUAAUGAACCGUGAGGCUUAACCUUACAACGCCGAAG